CCUGCUUAGUCCGUUUCGACUUGGGCUCAACCUUCGUGAGGUUGAGACCGUAAACGUGCGUUCUUUGUUCUAAAGGUGUGGUUUAUCAGUUAUAACAAGGCAGUUUAUCAAAAGGGCAGGAAAUUAACUAAUGAUAGAUAAUUUUCAUGCAUUAAUGGACAUGUUAAUCACAAACAUAGCUAAUUUCUGAGUUAUAGCCUACUAUGCUGUCAAACCUUUUAUCUAUCAGCCUACACACACAAUAGGAUAUCAAGUUACCAUACAAUUGACAUUGCCUAUGUAUGAGAGCUAACUCCAGUAUCCCAGCAAAAAUGUAAACUAGUAUACAUCACAUGAUAUGCAAUAUACAGUCUACGUAUAAAAACAAACAAUGUUCAACUCUUCUCUUUUGUAUUCAUGCUCAACUUUCAAGUUACAUUGACAGUAUUAGUCAUGUACCUGGUAUAGGAAAACAAAAGAAGAAGGAGAAUGAUCAGUCGAGUAGUAUGUAACAACACAGCAUCAGCAGGUAAACCACAGUCAACAAUCAACAGCAACAAUGUAACCUCCAGCUCAAAAACACCCAACAACAGUUCAAUAACGAUAAACCACAGGUGGUCGAGCACCACAAGACAGACCCAGGAAUAGAGUAGUAAACCAGCAGAAAAACCCAGAACAGCAGUAUCCUUGCAGAGAAAAUCGGAGUAUCCUAAUGGAAUAGUACCAGCCCAACUAGAAUAAUUGACUUGGCCAAGACAGCCUGACCAACUUAAUUUCUUAUGCAGUUUUCAGACAGUGUUCAGCUUACAGUGUUCUGAAAUUUCUUUCUGUUUUUCCCUUUCUGAAGACUAAAAAAUGUCCAAUCCUUUUUAUGUUCUGAAGCAGCUUAUUUAUAAGCUAAUCCAGGUCAGUCAAGCUACCCGGAUCCCUACAAGUUGUAGUCUGCCCAUACCCCUUAACUCCCCAUACCCAAAGGCAUCUUUCUUGAAGUAAACUUAUCAGCCCCCCAUGCUUUGUCCUAUUGCUCUAAUCAAGAGUUAUGGGUUUAAAGUAUUCAUUUAAUUCCCAUGCUCUUAUGUUUUGUUCCCCAUUGUCAUUAGGUUAAUAGUAUUUUAAUUACCACUUGACAUGUUCUUAAGUUAAUGCCUGACCAAACUCUGCUUAAUGCCAAAAUUACCCUUAAACCUUGCGUAUUACUGUAUUACCCUAACUCCUAAUAUUCAGUAUAUAAACCCUUCUGAUUUUAGCCAAUACCUGACUAUUAUCUAAUCAACUUAAACUCAAUACUGCUUUUAGGCUGAUCUGAUAGAUUUUUGCAGCUAAUAGCCAAUUCUCUGCCUAAGUUCAGGCAAUGAUUCAAACUUAAACAAACAGGGGUGCCAAUCAAAUGGUAUGAGUUGGCCACAUUGGGAGCCAAACCUGACCAACUCAAAACCAAUUGAUCCAAUACGCAGUUAAGGAUGCAAACUAUGAUCGAAGUGCUACUACAUCAGACCUACAAGUAUCAUCAUAAAUAAAAGAACAGGCACAGUAAUCAUACUGAAAUGCAGGCUCCUGAUUUUUUAAUCUUUCAAGUGAAUUCAGUUGAUGACACUUAUUUAGACGACUAUACAAACUAUAAUAUACAGCAAACAAUCAAUAAAACCAAUAAACAAACUAUUAACUCAAAACUCACACACAUGGAUAGAAAAGUCAAAAACCAAACCAAACCAGAACAUGAAAGACAGAUAGAAUUUAAGAGGACAAAAGAACAGGGAAAAUUACCUCAGGGAUAUGAAAUUAAGACUGAGUCAAAACUCGGACUCAGAUUCGACCAUUUCGGGGUCGAAUGGACCUUAAUCGAAGUGUUCUCAACUGAGAACACUUUGGUUAAAGUCUAUUAGACCCUGAUCCCUUGUUGGUUUGGACAGACACCCAUAACUCUAAGUUCUAGGGUUCUUGGUGGUCUGAUUUGAGAUCUGUUCUGUUCCGGUCAGAUUCGAACGGAACCAAAGUCAUUCAGGGGGUAAGGAAGGUCAGGAGGUGCUGUGGUAUGAGUUUGGAGUCGGUGGGUGUAGAUCUGGUUUUUGCUCGAAUCUUCGAUUGAAGAUUCGAGAGGCUAUGGGGUGAUUCGAGGUGAAUGGUUAACAGAUUCGUGUUCAGGGUGGUUGGGUGCAUCAGGGGUGUUAUUUUGGUGGUCAUCGGAACCGUGGUUACCGGGCUUUCGGCGGGGAACCCUAAGGCUGUUAGGGUUUGAGAGGAGGGGGCUCUAGGACGAUGGUGAAUAGUGGCCGAAGAGGGGGGUCUGGCUUGGGGCGUGGGGUGUUAGGUUAGGUUUAUAUAUGGGAAGGGUGGUUCAAUCCUGGCCGUUGGAUCGAUUACAAUUGAUGGCCAGAAUUUGGGGAAGCUUAACAAUACGGUACCGUUUGGUUAAGUGAGGGGUCGGUUUCAAACGGGAAUGGGUAGGGUCAUGAGGGAAAACAAAGGCCAUUGGAUCAAUUUAGAUGAAUGGCUCAGAUUAACUGUCCCUGAAACGACGUAGUUUUGGUGUUGAACUACGUCGUUUUGAUGGCCUGGGGACGGGUUGUUUGGGCUGGGUGAUGUGGGUUGCUUUUGGGCCUAUUUUUUGGUUUCAUUUCUUGGCCCAAACAGAUUUUCUUCACUCUUUUCUUUUGUUUUCUAAUUUUAAAACUAAAUAAAUAAAUAAACGAAAUUAAAACAACCAUUAAUUUAACACUUAACACAAUUAUCACACACAUAUCAAAAUAUAAAAGUAGGUUAAAUCACACCCUAGAAUAAAAGGUGCAUAUUUUUUGUGAAUUUUCUUUUAAUGAUCGAAUUAUGGUUUAAUUAUACAUGACAUACAUAUUUUGUAUUUUGUUUGAUAAGAUUAAAUAAAUAAAAUAAAACAAUGGACAGAACCACAAAUGACUACCAACACAUGUCACGUAAAAUCGAGAAAUUGUACAGUGAGGCCAUUUGUUAUUAUUUUUGAUUUCUUUUGGAGUGAUUGUCUGUGAAGCAAAAAUCACGUGCUUACAGCAUGCAAGCCGAAAUAGACAGAUACGCAAGUAGCACGUAAGAUGUAUCAGGAUGGUCUUUUAAUUUGGUGCACCUGUCCUAGACAGACCCAACCCCUGUGUUGAGUCUCAAAAGUCAAAUGCACAUGAUGCAAACAAACGUUCCUACUAGGGAUCCGGCAUGAGGCUGAGUUAUUCUAGGUUCAAAAACCUGGGUAUUUGUUCUAUACUUGUGUACCCGAGCGGACAACUCGAGUCGAGGAGGGGCAGCGUACCGGGAAUACAGAAGCUUCACCGGCUUUGCAACUUGUCUGAACCUUAUUUUAAAAUUUGGGAUAUGACUCUAACAGAAGAGAAGUCACACGAAGUGCACACUCUUCCAUGAUUUAGAAGAAUCAGAGAGAAGAAGGGUUUCGUAGCAGUUUAUAUACCCAAUCAACCAAUAUCAAAGCGGUAAAAGUAGCAUUUAGCACAUUAAGUUCAACAUGUAAAAAUCAUAUAAAAAAGCCAACUAUAACAGUUAUUCUAAGCUCGAAUUCUUGAACCCUGAACCAGAGAUUCUGGGUUCGAUCCCCAGCAGAGUCGCCAGAGCUGUCACACCUCCUUUUUACACACCCGAUGGUAUAUAUAGGGAGUUUUUCCACUUUAAGUGGCAAUCGAAACGGGAUCAUUUAUUUAUUAAAUUCAGAAUCGCCACUUGGGAUAUUUAUGGUGUCCCAAGUCACCGGAUUUAAAUCCCGAAUCGAGGAAAGAUUGAAUAUGUUUUACAGUCCGCGAACAUAGAAAUCCGGGUAAGAAAUUCUGUUAACCCGGGAGAAGGUGUUAGGCAUUCCCGGAUUCCGUGGUUCUAGCACGGUCGCUCAACUAUUGAUACUGGCCUAAUUAUCUGAUUUAUUACACAUUUUGAACCUACAUGCAUUUUUAAUUUUAUAACCGCUUUUAUUUAUUUCGAGAAAAAUUCAAGGUCAUUUAAAACGCAUUAUAAGCCACGCUACAUGAUAUGCACCUAUGGUUCACGACACGUUCUAUUUAACCUUGUUAGAAAAUUUAAAUCGGGCCACAUGAAAUGUACCCCCGGAUUUUAGUAGUAGUCAUGAUGAUUAUAUGAUUAACGCGCCUAAAGCGAACUACGAAGUUCAUGUUCAAUAUCUAAAUUAUAACAUGUGUGAGGGCCAUAGAUGAUUUAAUUAUAGAUGGCACACCUCAAGCUAUAUAAAUUAAAUUAAAUUAGCGGCCUACUAACAACCAUCUUAUUACUAAGAAAGUUUAUUUGAAGUUGCGCGAACACAUACUCCGAAUUAUUUUUAGAAGUCAUAAUCAUGUUCAAGAACACAAAUAAGUAAUUCUAUUAAUACUUUAAAUUCCAAACUGACACUUUCGCUACUAAAUCGACUUUGUAAUUAUCAAAUUGAUAUUAUGUUCCAGUACCGCAACAAUCACAAUAUAUCUUUCUCUUACUUAUAAACAAACUCAAAUCAAAUGUCUUAGAUAGUGAUGAAAACAGAAUGAGCCAUAUUAAGACAUUUAGCAGAUUAAUGGAACUAACGCAUGCAAAUACAAUCAAACCAACAUAACACCAAACCAAUUUAAUUCCUUCCCCAAUAUAAAACAAUGAGAUGGAACAAGAUAGAAUUUGAAAAGUGCACCUUUACAAUACUGUUUCGAAGCUCGGCCAAUCAGACACGGACUCGAACAAGAAAACAUAGCAGCGCCGGAACUUCGCCGGAAUCUCGAAUGGAACUGAACAGACCCAACGAAUAGAGCUAGCGACCUACGAACGGGCUAUAGCAGGACUCGAUCUCAACAGAAAUGUUACACUAAAUGGAACGACGAACUUGAAACUCAGUCGACAACCUCAAACGAACUCUCCACGAGCUUUAAACGAACACCAUUGACGAAACAAACUUUCGUCGCCGGCUUCCGGCCAUUUACGGUGGUGAUGGAGUUCAGUCGAGGAAGAAGAAGCCGCUGAUGCCCUAGGUCUAUGAGACUGAUGCUUAAAGCUCUGGGAUUUUUUUCAAGAACCAGAGUUCAUGGGGUCGUCGUUUAGGCUUCAGCUGAAACCAUCGCAAAUGGCCAAGAAGAAGUUGAUUUUUUUGCUUCAAAUAAGAAAGAGCUUUAGGUCUUACGUUGAAGAAGACAUCAUGGGGAGGGGUCCAUCAUUGAAUAAAUGACGCCGAUCUUAGCUCCUAGGUCUAUCUUUAUGUAUUAUUUCGCUGAUUUCUAGUUUUGAUGCCUUAGGGGUCUGAUUUGAUAGAAAACGGCGGAUCCAAGUUUUUUAUAGCUUUUUAGGUGUAGGUCAGUAUUUAUGCAUUAGGUACUAUUAUAUAGGGGUAGGGAUUAGGUUAGGGGUAUGGGCCUAGGAAUUAUGGGCUAGGUCCAAAAUUAGGCCUAGAAAUGAGUUGCUCGAGC
rnacentral:lncRNA from 1 species